CCCCAACUCACUUGUCCUCUUAUCCUCCGGCAGAUGUUGUACGAUUUCGCUUCAAUCGCUUCUUGAAAUGCUCGGUUCAUGACAGAGACAACCGCUUCAAUCAGGUGGUGGAGUAUGCUAAACCGGCAGAGAUUCCAUGGAAUAAGGAGCUCUGUAACACAUAGCAUCUCAUCAGUACUGUUGGGACCCCUGUCGCAAUCAAGCACCUAUCCUGUCGCAAGGAUCAGUUAGACGUUCUGGGAUGAGCA
rnacentral:misc_RNA from 1 species